rnacentral:rRNA from 1 species
UACGGAGGGCGCUAGCGUUGCUCGGAAUCACUGGGCGUAAAGCGCACGUAGGCGGCUUGUUAAGUCAGGGGUGAAAUCCUGGAGCUCAACUCCAGAACUGCCUUUGAUACUGGCGAUCUUGAGUCCGGGAGAGGUGAGUGGAACUGCGAGUGUAGAGGUGAAAUUCGUAGAUAUUCGCAAGAACACCAGUGGCGAAGGCGGCUCACUGGCCCGGUACUGACGCUGAGGUGCGAAGGCGUGGGGAGCAAACAGG